GCCGGGUGCCAUGGCCCACGCCUGUCAUCCCAGCAGUUUGGGAGGCUGAGGCAGGAGGAUUGCGGAUUCAAAGCAGCCUCAGCAACAGCAAGGCCCUCAGCAGCUCAGUGAGACCCUGCCUCUA
rnacentral:sRNA from 1 species